UACAGAGGUCUCAACCGUUGUUCGGAUUUAUUGGGCGUAAAGGGUGCGUAGGCGGACCUGCAAGUCGGGGGUGAAAGCCCGAGGCUCAACCUCGGAACUGCCUUCGAUACUGCGGGUCUCGAGUCCGGGAGAGGUGAGUGGAAUUCCUAGUGUAGAGGUGAAAUUCGUAGAUAUUAGGAAGAACACCAGUGGCGAAGGCGGCUCACUGGCCCGGUACUGACGCUGAGGCGCGAAAGCGUGGGGAGCAAACAGG
rnacentral:rRNA from 1 species